AGGCUGAUUUCCUUCGCCUUAUCAAUGAACCUGUUGAAGGUGGAGAAGGGGCAGCUAGCUGAAGCUAUGCCACAGGCUAUAACAGUUACUCCUGAGGAACGGGAAGCCAUAGAACGGGCAGACGCAUGACUAUGCCAAUUUGACGAUUAUGCUAUUCAUUUGGCUCCCUCCAUGUAUUUCCAGCUCGAAGCGAUGGGGUAUGAUCGAGCACUUGUUUUGGAGGUGUUCUUUGCCUGUAACAAGGAUGAAGAGCUUGCUGCGAACUACCUCUUGGAUCAUAUCCAUGAAUUUGAAGAAUGAUGAUGCCGAUUGUUG